rnacentral:rRNA from 1 species
UUGUCCUCUGUUGCCAUCACGUUAUGGUGGGCACUCUGAGGAGACUGCCGGUGACAAACCGGAGGAAGGUGGGGAUGACGUCAAGUCCGCAUGGCCUUUAUGUCUGGGGCCACACACGUGCUACAAUGGCCGACACAAACCGUCGCGAUACCGCAAGGUGGAGCUAAUCGGAUAAAGUCGGUCUCAGUUCGGAUUGCAGGCUGCAACUCGCCUGCACGAAGUUGGAAUCGCUAGUAAUCGCGGAUCAGCACGCCGCGGUGAAUACGUUCCCGGGCCUU